rnacentral:rRNA from 1 species
GAUGAACGCUGGCGGCGUGCCUAAUACAUGCAAGUCGAACGAGGUGCUUUUGUAGCAAUACGAGAGUAUCCUAGUGGCGAACGGGUGAGUAACGCGUGGAUGACCUGCCCCAAAGUGUGGGAUAACAGUCCGAAAGGAUUGCUAAUACCUCAUGUGGUUAUCGGUUUUAGAAAGCGAUAACUAAAGCAGCAAUGCGCUUUGGGAGGGAUCUGCGUCCCAUCAGCUAGUUGGUGAGGUAACGGCUCACCAAGGCGACGACGGGUAGGGGACCUGAGAGGGUGGCCCCCCCANAAUGGAACUGAAACACGGUCCAUACACCGUACGGGUGGCAGCAGUAGGGAAUAUUGCUCAAUGGGCGAAAGCCUGAAGCAGCAACGCCGCGUGUG